AGCCAUUCCCCGUCCACGGAGACUCGAAAGUUGCAAAGGUUAUUGUAGGUCAAAUGAAGUCACACCAUGAACACCAGCAGACAUACUGGUUAGUGGCGGCCGAAGAGCUUUUUUCUGUGAGAACGAAAAGGGAGCCGACUUACAGGUGUGAUUGCCUGCUAAUGGCAUAACAGGAGAUACUACAGUAUUACACAACAAAUACCACUGUUUCCUCUCUGGCGGUGGGUGUCAGACAACCAGGUGAUCCUGGACCCCCCCAGAGGUCCUUACCUUCUUUAGAAAAAUAUGGAGUCACUUGUGGUCAUCCUGUGAUUUAUGAGGCAUCGCUGGACGUUCAUCUCUGGCAUUAGAACGUCGCUUCUGCCCUCUGCCUGGCUAGUUUUUGGUCAUUGCCAGUGUCUCCUGCUUCA